rnacentral:tRNA from 1 species
AUAUUGGUGGUUCACUGGUAGAAUUCUCACCUUCCACGUAGGAGACCCAGAUUUGAUUCCUGGCCAAUACA